AAUGAACGCUGGCGGCAUGCCUUACACAUGCAAGUCGAACGGCAGCAUGACCUAGCUUGCUAGGUUGAUGGCGAGUGGCGAACGGGUGAGUAAUGCAUCGGAACGUGCCUUUUAGUGGGGGAUAACGUAGCGAAAGUUACGCUAAUACCGCAUAUUCUCUGAGGAGGAAAGCAGGGGACCUUCGGGCCUUGCGCUAGAAGAGCGGCCGAUGUCGGAUUAGCUAGUUGGUGAGGUAAAGGCUCACCAAGGCAACGAUCCGUAGCGGGUCUGAGAGGAUGAUCCGCCACACUGGGACUGAGACACGGCCCAGACUCCUACGGGAGGCAGCAGUGGGGAAUUUUGGACAAUGGGCGCAAGCCUGAUCCAGCCAUGCCGCGUGAGUGAAGAAGGCCUUCGGGUUGUAAAGCUCUUUCGGCUGGGAAGAAAUCGCACCCUCUAAUACAGGGUGUGGAUGACGGUACCAGCAUAAGAAGCACCGGCUAACUACGCG
rnacentral:rRNA from 1 species